UAUAAAAUAUUUAAUAUUAUCUUCCUGUCAUUCAUGAAACAUUGUGUCUUCUCCAAGCCUUUUCAUGCUACAUAUAAGUUUAUAUUGUUAUGCAAGACACAGUGUGUCGAUUCCAUUUUUGAUUAUGAUUCAUAUAAUUUUCGAUCUAGUGAUUCAUGAAACAGAGUGUAUAUUUCAUGUUUUUUUUUAUUAUAAUACAUGUAAUAUUUAAUUUUCAAUCAUGUAUUAGACAGUAUGUCAAUUUGAUCUUUUGUUAUUAUGUAUAUAAUAUUUCAUCCUUGUGACUUGUGAGACAUUUUUGAUUAUGAUACACAUAGUGUUUCGUGCUUGUGAUUUAUGACAGUGUGUAUAUUCCAUGUUUUUUGUUGUUGUGAUUCAUGUAAUGUUCAUUGUUUUAAUUAUGUGUAAGACAGUAUGUCAACAUUCAUUUUUUUUGUUAUGAUGUAUACAAUAUUUCAUUCUUGUGAUUCAUAAGACAAUGUGUCUAUAUUAUUGUUGAUAUUAUGGUUAAUAUAAUAUUUCUCUUUUGAAAUGCUAAGGUAAUGGAGCAAUUUCAUUUUUGUGUGUUUGUAAUACUUGUUAGUGAUAUCUUGUGAUUAAUGAAAAAAAGUGUUUUUAGCUAUUCACCUUGUCCACAGGACUGAUGAACUUAUAAAAUGGCGCAGCAGUUGUCUUUCGUCGGUCAUGCGUCAUUGUUUCCUUAGAAACCUACUUCUCCAGAGUGAAUGAUACAAUUUCGACCUAUUUUGGGAAUUGAAGCCUUGAUGGAAGUGUGCAGAGUUGUUUGUUUGACAUCUGGGGCCUUAGGAACAUGGCAUAAUGUAGGACCAUAAUAGAGCAGAAUAAGAUUAGUAUAUCUUCUAAAGCCUACUACUCCUGAACGAAAUACAAAUUAUGACACUAUGUUUCAGGGUUUGUCGUGAGGACAAUUCUUUCAUCGCGAGCCUUUGAAAAAAAAUCGUGAGGCCACUGCAGGUGGACUUGCGAUUACAUGCAUGUGGAGCGAUGAGAAAUUUGUUCGAACUACAAACACUUCUGAUAAAUCAACUUUAUACAAAUACCUUUAAUAUGUUCGCAGUCAAAAAGCAUAUUUUCCAACUGACUUCUAUAAGCCUCAGUGACAUGUGUAAACAAAUACAGGUAUUGUAUGGAGGGAUAUAAUGGACCUUAAAGUUAUGUACAAGAUAUUUUUAAAACAAUAUUCUUGUCAUUGGCUUCUUCUCAUCCACUUUUGCACAUUUACCGAGGCAAGGCGAUCAUGCCAAUAAAUGAAGAUUGUAUAUCCUCUCUUACAAUAUGGGUGGGGCCUUAAAUGUAAAUUAGGGGCAUUUUCAUUUCAAAUGUCUACUCCUUAUGAACAACUGUUAAAUAUUUCUAAGGCAAACUAAUAAUGUUUUGUAUGGUGAAGGUGGUGAGAUCCCUAGGGUCAGAGAUGGGCUUCGUAAGUAGAAUUAGGGGUGUACAGAUGUACUACUUUAGAAUGACUGCGAUCUCCUCUAUUUGGCUUCUUACACAGAGCGUGGACAUCAAAAGAUGAAUGUAUCUACGAUAACGGGUUUGGGACCAGGGAGUGAGCCCUCCCCAAUGGUAUUAACUCCCUGUAUCAUGACAUGGAAACAGUUGAGGUUUCCAUCCUAUAACCAAAUAUUUACCUAUGCUUUGCUUUGGAGAUAUGACCCCAUUCCUGGAUACUUCCAACACCUUUGGAAGCUCUACCUGGAUCUAACAUUGAAACAGUUGAGAUCCCUACACUAUAACCAUGUACAAUGUACUAAAAUGAGGGGUAUGGAAGACAACCACAUUUAAGUUAGUGUUGUCUUGCGUGCCUUUACGGAUUCCGUUCUUGUUAAAGCUUAUUUUUAUUUUAUUUUUUUGAUAAACGUGUAUGAUAUUCAACGGGUUUUUAUAUAGUGUAGAAAAUUCCAGGUGAGCUCUAAAUGUCCCUCGGCCCAUUGCUGCUAUUAUGGUACGCAUCAUAUACCACCAGUGUCAUUGUGAGACAAUGUUUCUAUUCCAUCUAUAUUAUAUUUUUUGUAUACAAGAAGUAAAAAUAUCGUUGUUAUUAUAUAAAUAUAUGUAAUUUUUACAUUAUACUGAUAUUUUGAUGUAUAUAGAUACUGAUGUUAUGAUGUUUUUCCUAUGUGUAUUUUCUUAUAAUAAUAUUGUUUAUUUUGAAACAUGGGAAAUUCUUAUGUUUAGCUUAUCUGGCAUAAAGUGCCCGUGAGCUUAUGCCAUGAUGCGGAGUCCAUCGUCUCCUCAAUCGAUCACCCGUCUGCCAUCUGUCCGCCGUUUGCUCUUCCGUCACUACUUUGAAAUAAUUCUUCUCAGCAAUAUAUUAUCAUAAAUAUCGGUUAGCACUAUGCUGAUCAUGAGCUUGACUCACAUUAUAUGUCAAAGAGGUCAAAGCGUCGCAAAAACACUUCUCCUAAAAAACCUUAACACCUGCAGUCUUUAAUUUACCGUGUAACCUGCUGAAGUCAACAGCAGAAAGCAUGGCCCUAAUAAACGACUUUUGACAACGCAUAAUAUCAGAGUAAAGAAAUUCAUGGGUAAAAUGUCUCAAAUAUUAGAAAUAAAGUCUACCAUCCUAUAACUCAGUGGUAGUAGAGGAAUGGUAUAUCACAUAAAUAGCUGGCUGAUGAGAAGGAUGUUACAAUAUAAACUACAGUAUGUUCGCACAUAUUUAUGGCGAACACAGUUAAAACUGUGUAAAAAUUUAACAAAAAAAACUUAUUAGACCAAGCGUUAUAGUUGAAAUUCUGAAGUUAAAAGAAAUCUUAAUUUGCCACCAAGAUCCCAAAUUUGUGUUUACAAAUUAACAGGUCAACGAUUCAGGCCCAUGGACAUUUUUGAAUUGUUAUUGAUAUUUUUUUUAUAUUAUACUGUUGUUGUGAUAUUGAUGUUGUAAGUGUUCAAUUUGUUGAUGUGUUGUGACAAAUUCCGAGAUUGGAUUUAUUCUUACCAAUGGGAAAUUACACAAUUGGAUGGAUCUCACGUUGAAAAUGGGAAACAAUCCGGAGAACGGUUCGGGUGCAAGAUAGACGUCUUGGUUACAUGGAGGACGGAGCAACAUUAGACCGAUAUAUUUCCUGGGGGCCGUAUGACGUCACGUUUAGUUUUAGAGAAACAAUCACCUUCAUGCUGCUAUGCAGACGAAACAGACAGAUUAAAUUGAAGUGAGUGAAACAUCAAAAUUAGAACCAGCUGCUUAAAGUGAUGUCAUCACCAAGAAGAACCGCGGCUUGAAGUGACGUCAUCACCAAGAAGAGCCGCUGUGUGAAAUUAAAUCACCAUCAUCAAUGAAGCCCCAUGGUUCAGUUGUGUUAAGAUUGAUUCAUGUUUCAUUUUUAUAUAUAUAUAUAUAUAUUUAUAUGU